rnacentral:rRNA from 1 species
UCCGUAGGUGGAUAAUUAAGUCAGAGGUGAAAUCCUGCAGCUCAACUAUAGAAUUGCCUUUGAUACUGGUUAUCUUGAGUCAUUAUGAAGUGGUUAGAAUGUGUAGUGUAGCGGUGAAAUGCAUAGAUAUUACACAGAAUACCGAUUGCGAAGGCAGAUCACUAAUAAUGUACUGACACUGAUGGACGAAAGCGUGGGGAGCGAACAGGAUUAGAUACCCUGGUAGUCC